rnacentral:rRNA from 1 species
GACGAACGCUGGCGGCGUGCCUAACACAUGCAAGUCGAGCGAAUGAAGUUCCUUCGGGAAUGGAUUUAGCGGCGGACGGGUGAGUAACACGUGGGCAACCUGCCUCAUAGAGGGGAAUAGCCUCCCGAAAGGGAGAUUAAUACCGCAUAAGAUUGUAGUACCGCAUGAUACAGCAAUUAAAGGAGCAAUCCGCUAUGAGAUGGGCCCGCGGCGCAUUAGCUAGUUGGUGAGGUAAUGGCUCACCAAGGCGACGAUGCGUAGCCGACCUGGGAGGGUGAUCGGCCACAUUGGGACUGAGACACGGCCCAGACUCCUACGGGAGGCAGCAGUGGGGAAUAUUGCACAAUGGGGGAAACCCUGAUGCAGCAACGCCGCGUGAGUGAUGACGGCCUUCGGGUUGUAAAGCUCUGUCUUCAGGGACGAUAAUGACGGUACCUGAGGAGGAAGCCACGGCUAACUACGUG